GUGGAGGAAGAAGGUCUCCGGAUUGUAAACUCCUGUUGUGGGGGAAGAAAAUGACGGGACCCAACAAGGAAGGGACGGCUAACUACGUGCCAGCAGCCGCGGCAAAACGNAGGGCACAAGCGUGGUCCGGAAUUACUGGGUGUAAAGGGAGCGCAGGCGGGAAGACAAGAUGGAAGUGAAAUCUAUGGGCGCAACCCAUAAACUGCUGUCAAAACUGAGUUUCUCGAGUAGUGCAGAGGUAGGCGGAAUACCCGGUGUAGCGGUGGAAUGCGGAGAUAUCGGGAGGAACACCAGUGGCGAAGGCGGCCUACUGGGCACCAACUGACGCUGAGGCUCGAAAGUGUGCGUAGCAAACAGGAUUAGAUACCCUGGUAGUCCACACCGUAAACGAUGAUUACUAGGUGUUGGAGGA
rnacentral:rRNA from 1 species